rnacentral:rRNA from 1 species
UACGUAGGGUGCGAGCGUUUAAUCGGAAUUACUGGGCGUAAAGCGUGCGCAGGCGGUUUUGUAAGUUAGAGGUGAAAGCCCGGAGCUCAACUCCGGAACUGCCUUUAAGACUGCAUCGCUUGAACGUCGGAGAGGUAAGUGGAAUUCCGAGUUGUAGAGGUGAAAUUCGUAGAUAUCGGGAGGAACACCGGUGGCGAAGGCGGCGACCUGGGUCGAGACGUGACGCUGGAGGCGCGAAAGCGUGGGGAGCAAACAGG